GACGAACGCUGGCGGCGUGCUUAACACAUGCAAGUCGAACGAAGUGGCGAACGGGUGAGUAACGCGUAAUCAACCAGCCCUUCAGAGGGGGACAACAGUUGAAAACGACUACUAAUACCGCAUACUGACGGCGGGCAUUGCGUCGGUUUAGCAAGUUGGAGGGGUAACGGCCAACCAAGGCGAAGAUCAGUAGCCGGUCUGGGAGGAUGAACGGCACAAUUGGGAAUGAGACACGGCCCAGACUCCUACGGGAGGCAGCAGUGGGGAAUGUUCCGCAAUGGACGAAAGUCUGACGGGGCAACGCCGCGGGGGUGAUGACGGCCUUCGGGUUGGAAAGCUCUGUUAAUCGGGACGCGGUACCGGAAUAGAAAGCCACGGCUAACUACGUGCCAGCAGCCGCGGUAAUUC
rnacentral:rRNA from 1 species